UACGUAGGGUGCAAGCGUUGUCCGGAAUUAUUGGGCGUAAAGAGCUCGUAGGCGGUCUGUCGCGUCGGCUGUGAAAUCCCGGAGCUCAACUCCGGGUCUGCAGUCGAUACGGGCAAACUUGAGUACUGCAGGGGAGACUGGAAUUCCUGGUGUAGCGGUGAAAUGCGCAGAUAUCAGGAGGAACACCGGUGGCGAAGGCGGGUCUCUGGGCAGUAACUGACGCUGAGGAGCGAAAGCGUGGGGAGCAAACAGG
rnacentral:rRNA from 1 species